rnacentral:tRNA from 1 species
UGUAGCUCAGUCGUAGAGCACUUGUCUAGUAUGCCAAAGGCCCUGGGUUUGAUCCCCAGCA